rnacentral:rRNA from 1 species
UACGUAGGGUGCAAGCGUUGUCCGGAUUUAUUGGGCGUAAAGAGCGUGUAGGCGGUCUGGUAGGUCCGUUGUGAAAACUCGAGGCUCAACCUCGAGACGCCGAUGGAAACCCUCAGACUAGAGUCCGGAAGAGGAGAGUGGAAUUCCUGGUGUAGCGGUGAAAUGCGCAGAUAUCAGGAAGAACACCCGUGGCUAAGGCGGCUCUCUAGUACGUGACUGACGCUGAGACGCGAAAGCGUGGGGAGCGAACAGG